AAAUUGAAGAGUUUGAUCAUGGCUCAGAUUGAACGCUGGCGGCAGGCCUAACACAUGCAAGUCGAACGGUAACAGGAAGCAGCUUGCUGCUUCGCUGACGAGUGGCGGACGGGUGAGUAAUGUCUGGGAAGCUGCCUGAUGGAGGGGGAUAACUACUGGAAACGGUGGCUAAUACCGCAUAACGUCGCAAGACCAAAGAGGGGGACCUUCGGGCCUCUUGCCAUCAGAUGUGCCCAGAUGGGAUUAGCUAGUUGGUGAGGUAACGGCUCACCAAGGCGACGAUCCCUAGCUGGUCUGAGAGGAUGACCAGCCACACUGGAACUGAGACACGGUCCAGACUCCUACGGGAGGCAGCAGUGGGGAAUAUUGCACAAUGGGCGCAAGCCUGAUGCAGCCAUGCCGCGUGUAUGAAGAAGGCCU
rnacentral:rRNA from 1 species